rnacentral:rRNA from 1 species
UACGUAGGCAGCAAGCGUUGUUCGGAUUUACUGGGCGUAAAGAGUGCGUAGGUGGUGCCCUAAGUCUGUUGUGAAAUCUCCCGGCUUAACUGGGAGGGUGCGGUGGAAACUGGGGUGCUUGAGUGUGGGAGAGGUAAGCGGAAUUCCUGGUGUAGCGGUGAAAUGCGUAGAUAUCAGGAGGAACACCGGUGGUGUAGACGGCUUACCGGACCACGACUGACACUGAGGCACGAAAGCGUGGGUAGCAAACAGG